rnacentral:rRNA from 1 species
GACGAACGCUGGCGGCGUGCUUAACACAUGCAAGUCGAACGGAAAGGCCCUGCUUUUGUGGGGUGCUCGAGUGGCGAACGUGUGAGUAACACGUGAGUAACCUGCCCUUGACUUUGGGAUAACUUCAGGAAACUGGUGCUAAUACCGGAUAGGAUCUCCUGCUGCAUGGUGGGGGUUGGAAAGUUUCGGCGGUUGGGGAUGGACUCGCGGCUUAUCAGCUUGCUGGUGGGGUAGUGGCUUACCAAGGCUUUGACGGGUAGCCGGCCUGAGAGGGUGACCGGCCACAUUGGGACUGAGAUACGGCCCAGACUCCUACGGGAGGCAGCAGUGGGGAAUAUUGCACAAUGGGCGGAAGCCUGAUGCAGCAACGCCGCGUGCGGGAUGACGGCCUUCGGGUUGUAAACCGCUUUCGCCUGUGACGAAGCGUGAGUGACGGUAAUGGGUAAAGAAGCACCGGCUAACUACGUG